rnacentral:sRNA from 1 species
UUCAGUUAUGGUGAUAUGGUGCCCUCAACAAUACUGGGGAAAAUUGUUGGUAGCGUGUGUUCCCUGUGUGGGGUUCUGGUAAUCGCUCUCCCGGUUCCAGUAAUUGUCUCCAAC